rnacentral:rRNA from 1 species
GACGAACGCUGGCGGCGUGCUUAACACAUGCAAGUCGAACGGAAAGGCCCUGCUUUUGUGGGGUGCUCGAGUGGCGAACGGGUGAGUAACACGUGAGUAACCUGCCCUUGACUUUGGGAUAACUUCAGGAAACUGGGGCUAAUACCGGAUAGGAGCUCCUGCUGCAUGGUGGGGGUUGGAAAGUUUCGGCGGUUGGGGAUGGACUCGCGGGUUAUCAGCUUGUUGGGGGGGUAGUGGCUUACCAAGGCUUUGACGGGUAGGCGGCCUGGGCGGGGGACCGGCGACAUGGGUACUGAGAGACGGCCCAGACUCCUACGGGAGGCAGCAGUGGGGAAUAUUACACAAUGGGGGGAAGCCUGAUGCAGCAGCGCCGCGUGCGGGAUGACGGCCUUCGAGUUGUAAACCGCUUUCGCCUGUGACGAAGCGUGAGUGACGGUAAUGGGUAAAGAAGCACCGGCUAACUACGUG